GUGAGGAAUUUUCCGCAAUGGGCGAAAGCCUGACGGAGCAAUGCCGCGUGAAGGAUGAAGGCCUAUGGGUUGUAAACUUCUUUUCUCAGAAAAGAAUUAUGACGGUAUCUGAGGAAUAAGCAUCGGCUAACUCUGUGCCAGCAGCCGCGGUAAGACAGAGGAUGCAAGCGUUAUCCGGAAUGAUUGGGCGUAAAGCGGCUGUAGGUUGUUUAAAUAGUAUUCUGUCAAAGAUUAGGGCUUAACCCUAGAUAGGCAGAAUAAACUUUUAAGCUAGAGUUUGGUAGAGGCAGAGGGAAUUCCCGGUGGAGCGGUGAAAUGCGUAGAUAUCGGGAGGAACACCAAAGGCGAAGGCACUCUGCUGGGCCAAUACUAACACUGAGAGACGAAAGCGAGGGGAGCAAAUGGGAUUAGAUACCCGGGUAGUCC
rnacentral:rRNA from 1 species